CCAAACAUCAAAUGGUUGGAAUAUGAAGGGCAUUUAUGUGCCUGUGAAUUUCUUGCACUAAAUGGUUCACAAAUUUACAGAUUUUUUUGUUCGUGGUUGGAUUUGGGAGUUUUAUUCUUAGUUCUCUACUGGGGGCUUUUCAGUUCCGAUGUACAAACAGCUUCAAAGAUUAUUCUUUGUUGGGUUUUCAGUUCCGAUUUGCAAUUUUGGCUUCCAAGUACCAGUCAGAGCUUUUUAUUUGUGCAGUCUUGGUGUUUUGUGUUGCUAUUCUUCGGUGAAUAGAGAAUACGAACUACAGCUUCGAGGAUUCACCAAUGUAUAUAUAAACUGUGCAGUUCCUUGCCUUGAGUGCCUUUGGUGCUCCACAACUUGUAAUUGAACUUGUUGCACGAAGAACUUUUUGAGGACUUAAAGAUAAAAGGUAUAAAUAAUAGUUCAAUGGGCAAGUGUCCUCCAGUUUGAAUCUCAUUGGUUGGUCUGGCUUUGAAGAUAGUAUCAGAUGAUGAUCCAAUGAGGAAAAAUCUCCUUUUGGAAAUGGGACUUUCUCGAGAGACUGAGAAAUUAAUUUUACACCUCUACUUAUUAAUAGGGAAAUAAUUUAAGUUGAUUUUAUUUUCCUGAAUUCUAAAAUGGAUUUGAUUUGAUGAAUUAGAAAACAACUUUAUUAGGAAUUGUUUGGGUCAGGCACUAGGUCGCGUGCAAGGCAGCCACCUCAUUAGUAUAUAUAUAAUAAGCAUGGAUUGCUGCUGAACAGUAAAUUUUUGUCCCUUGUCAAAUUAUUUAUUUGCCCUUUUUGCUUUUAGUCUCAAAUGCUUUACACGGUAUAAAAGGAAUAAUAUGAGGAUUGUAAGUGCAAUUUCGUUGUGUGGGUGGGUUGAAAAGCAGGUAUUUUUUAGGGGUGACCAUUGGUUUAAUGGUCAAGACUUGGCCUAAUAACCUUGAGGUUAUGGGUUCAAGUCUUUGGACCACCACUUUACGCUUUAUGCUAAAGGUUAGGUGUGUACUGAAUCUUUCCCCUCCCAAACACACAUUAAUGUGUACUUAUUGGGCGUUGUUACUUUCCUUCGUUCUUGUGUGCGUCUGCAUAUUGUCCACAUCGUGCAGGGUAGUUUCGGAAAAUACAAAAUCACAGGAGAUCUCAUCUUUAGGUGAUUUUAUUUGCACAUCACAUUUUGUCACAGUACAUAUUAUGUGUAUAGUUUGAGUAUCGACUUCUGAACAAAUAUAAAUGUUUGGAUAUCUACUUUCUAACAAAAUAUAAUAUUUAGAUAUCAAUUAUUGAAUAAGAUUUUUGUUUAAACAAUUAAUUUUUGUUCAAAAGUUGAUAUUCUAAGAUUUUGUUUUUGAUCGAAAAUUGAUAUUCAAACCGCACAAAUGAUGUUUACUAAGAUAAAGCAUGGUGUGUGAAUAGAAUUACCCCACCUUCAUCUCAGAAUCACAAACAGCUGGCCUUUCCUCCGUCUCUUCUUUUCUCUUUUCCUCUUCCCUCUCUUUCUUCCGUGUCUUCUUUCUCUUUUCCUCUUCCCUCUCUCUCUUCUAUAAUCUAGGUUAAAUCUUUUCCGGAAAUUUUUUGGAUCAUUCAACUGGAACGACGGAAAAGAUUCAUUUUGGCUACCCACUCAGGUCGCUGGGUUUGAAACCAAGUCCCGAUCAUCAGCAUCAGCUCCUCAACAUCAGUUCUUGGGUUUCCCUCAUCGCUCUUGAUUGCUACUUAAAUUGGUAUCAUUCUGAUUGAUGGUUGCUUUGCCAGGUUGAAGGAUUCAAAACAAACUUAAUUUACUUUGAUUCAUACCAAGCCACCUGCCUUGGAAAGUUUGUCACGGUUCAUUCAUAUCACUUUCUCAAAAUGUGAAUUCCGAUGUCAGUCUAUGAAGCACGGGUACAGGUACGAGUACAGGUACUGGUACGAUACGGGUACGUCAAUACGGUAAAAUCUAAAAAAAGUAGGAUACAGGCUUGCCGUGUUGUAGGAUUCACCAAAGUAUAUGCAAACUGUGCGGUUCCUUACCUUGAGUGUCUUUUGGCGCUCCACAACUUGUAAUUGAAAUUGCUGCACAAAAAAACUUUUGGGGAUAAAAAGAUAUUUCAAUGUGCAAGUGUCAUCCAAUUUGAAUAUCAUCGGUUGCUCAACCUUUGAAGAUGGUAUCAGGUGGAUGAUUUAAUGAGAGAAAAACUCCUUUCAGAAAUGAGAAUCUUCUCAAGAGAAUGGGAAAUUAAUUUUUUAUUUGGAGUUUAUUUUUUAUAGAAACAUAUACAACUCAACUUACUUUAUUGGGAACUAUUUAUACCUGUCUUUGUGGUAAUAUUUUUGCACACAAGAUCUUGGUCAAUUUUCUGUUAACCCUAAAAUAAGUUCAAUUCAUGGUGACAUUAUUUAGAGU